UCUCCCCAAGGAGAGCAAUGAAGACACUGACUGGACCUUUUGUCCUGUUCUUGUGGUUGCAGUUGAACUGUGUGAGCAGAGGAGAGCAGCUGGAGCAGCCUUCUCUCCUGAGUGUCCAAGAGGGAGGCAGUGCUGUUAUCAACUGCACCUACACAGACAGUGCAAUUUAUUACUUCUUCUGGUACAAGCAAGAGCCUGGGGCAGGUCUCCAGUUCCUUAUGAAUGUUCUUUCAAAUGUGGACAGAAAGGAACAAAGACUCACUGUCCUGCUAAAUAAGGAGGACAAACAUCUCUCCCUGAACAUCACAGCUGCCCAUCCUGGGGACUCAGCCACAUACUUCUGUGCAGCAAGUGCACACACUGAACAUUGUGUGUCUAGUUACAAUACAUUUUACUUCGGAUCUGGCACCAAACUCAAUGUUAAACCAAACAUCCCGGACCCAAAACCAGCUGUGUACCAGCUAAGAGAUGCUCAGGCCAAGAACAGCACCAUCUGCCUGUUCACCGACUUCAGUUCCCAAGUCAACAACUCAGAGGACGUGCCACCUGAAGUGUUUGUCUCCAAAAACACCGUGCUGGACAUGCGGUCUAUGGAUUCCAAGAGCAAUGGGGCCAUUGCCUGGAGUGACCACAGUAGUUUGAACUGUAAAGACGCCUUCAGACAGAAUGCCUCCUACCCCAGCUCAGAUGUUCCCUGUGAUGCCAAGUUGAUAGAGAAAAGCUUUGAAACAGAUAUGAACCUCAACUUUCAAAACCUGUCAGUGAUGGGACUCCGAAUCCUGCUCCUGAAAGUGGCCGGAUUUAACCUGCUCAUGACGCUGCGGCUGUGGUCCAGUUGAGGUUUCCAGACUGAAGGAGGCUGAACUCCCAAGCUCUUUCCUCUCAUCACCCCUCCUCGCCCUCUUCAAGUGAAAAGGAGCCCGCCCACCUCCUAAAGAAGGCUCUCGGGUCUGAGCAGCUCACAACCCCAUCAACUCUGUCUCCUGAAUCUGUGAUGGAGAAUGCUGAAGAUCCGCUACUACUCCACUUCCUCACUGCUGCCGGCCACUCAAGACAGGCAGGGGCUGCUGCUUCUCCUGGAUGUGAAGACCCUUCACACACACUCCUG